rnacentral:tRNA from 1 species
GCGUCCGUGUUCUAGCGGCUACGAUUCCAUCCUUCCAAGUUGGAGACAGGGGUUCGAUUCCCUUCGGGCGCA